GAGUGGAUACGGGUAUAUCUACUUGAUGAAACGCAAGUCUGAAAUGUUGAAAAGUUCACAGAAUUUCAGAGUGAAGUUGAGAAAAUUAUGACAAGAAGAUAAAAUAUCUAUGAUGUGAUCGUGGAGGUGUGAUACGUCUCUAACGUAUCAAUAAUUUACGAAGUAUUCAUGUUUGCCUAUGUUUACAAUACUUUUAUAUGGUUUAGCUGCACUUUAUAUGAUNGCAUGUUUUGUCAUUUAUUUAGAACUAACCCGGACUAACGGUGUUUUUAGCAGAACUACCGUGUUGUUG
rnacentral:lncRNA from 1 species